AGGUACAGCUCCUUCCUGGAGAACAGUGUUGCAGAACCUGUUACUGUUAGUGCAUAGUUGCAAGAGAGCAGCUGCUGCAUUCUCUUUACCCCUUGCAGAUCCCAGCUCAACAACCUCAACAAGAAGAGGAAUCCCUCCUUCUUGACCGAUUCCUGCUCUUCCGUCGGGAAUGGUUGCAAGAUUGGAUAAAACGGCAACAGCCUUAUCAACCAUCCCGGUAGCAGGGUCCAUCAAAUCUACGAGAUACUUUACAGCACCAGCCUGGAUAAUACGAGCCUUGUUUUCAUGAAGUAUUGACA
rnacentral:misc_RNA from 1 species